UAAAAAGAAGUAAACAGGAAGUGACUUCUAAUAUCCCCCUGUUAUAAAAUAAACCUCUUCUGAGCCUAAAGUGGCUGCUGGUGGGCUAAAAACAUAGCCAAAUUCCCCCCUAUCCCCUUUGGGGGGCAUGGGGAGAAUGAUAUCUUUUGAGGGGAAUGUGGGGCAUCACCUUUCAAGGUCUCCUGGAAGAGCUAAUAUAGCCAACAACCUUUCAAUAAUCGUCCAACUCAUUUAUUCAGUGGGGGCAUAAAUCUAAUUCCUCUGCGCAUCCAAAAGAAAUGAGCUUUUUCCUUUAUAGUCCUGGAAGAGUUUACAAGAUUCUGGAACUUUCUUGUGCAAUGGGCAAAGUUUUGCAUGGAACAGGAGCUCCAAUUUGCAGACUGGAAAGAUUUUGCAUAGGAGAGGAAUUCUGGACAAACCAACUGACCUUGAAGGUGCUGCAGGGGGGACCCUGAUCCCUCUUCCGCGAAUGCCUCUUCCACGAGCCGAAUCCUCUGAACCAUUUAAAUAUGACAAUUCUCUCAGUUGCUCUUGACGGAUUUCAUCGU